rnacentral:siRNA from 1 species
CCGCCAAAACUUCAGCAAGGAC